rnacentral:rRNA from 1 species
UACGUAGGGCGCAAGCGUUGUCCGGAAUUAUUGGGCGUAAAGAGCUCGUAGGCGGCUUGUCACGUCGGGCGUGAAAGCCCGGGGCUUAACCCCGGGUCUGCAUUCGAUACGGGCUAGCUAGAGUGUGGUAGGGGAGAUCGGAAUUCCUGGUGUAGCGGUGAAAUGCGCAGAUAUCUGGAGGAACACCGGUGGCGAAGGCGGCAUCCUGGACCGGUAUUGACGCUGAGGCGCGAAAGCCAGGGGAGCAAACGGG